rnacentral:ncRNA from 1 species
UGUCUUCAGGGCAGGGUGUAAUUCCCGACCGGCGGUAAAGUCCGCGAGCGCAAAUUGCGCAGAAUUGGUGUGAUUCCAAUACCGACAGUAUAGUCUGGAUGAAAGAAGAUG